rnacentral:rRNA from 1 species
AACGAACGCUGGCGGCAUGCCUAACACAUGCAAGUCGAACGAGAUCUUCGGGUCUAGUGGCGCACGGGUGCGUAACGCGUGGGAAUCUGCCCUUUGGUUCGGAAUAACAGUUGGAAACGACUGCUAAUACCGGAUGAUGACGAAAGUCCAAAGAUUUAUCGCCAGAGGAUGAGCCCGCGUAGGAUUAGCUAGUUGGUGUGGUAAAGGCGCACCAAGGCGACGAUCCUUAGCUGGUCUGAGAGGAUGAUCAGCCGCACUGGGACUGAGACACGGCCCAGACUCCUACGGGAGGCAGCAGUGGGGAAUAGUGGCCAAUGGGCGAAAGCCUGAUCCAGCAAUGCCGCGUGAGUGAUGAAGGCCUUAGGGUUGUAAAGCUCUUUUACCCGGGAUGAUAAUGACAGUACCGGGAGAAUAAGCUCCGGCUAACUCCGUGCCAGCCGCCGCAGUAA